GAUUAACGCUGGCGGCGUGCAUAACACAUGCAAGUCGAACGAUGAAACUUAACUGAUUUCUUCGGAAUGAUUUUAAGUGGAUUAGUGGCGGACGGGUGAGUAACGCGUGAGUAACCUGCCUUGGAGAAGGGGAUAGCCUUUGGAAACGAAGAGUAAUACCCUAUGAUAUGAUAAUAUCUCAUGAUAUUAUCAUCAAAGAUUUAUCGCUCUAAGAUGGACUUGCGUCUGAUUAGUUAGUUGGUGAGGUAACAGCUCACCAAGGCAGCGAUCAGUAGCCGGCUUGAGAGAGUGUACGGCCACAUUGGGACUGAGACACGGCCCAGACUCCUACGGGAGGCAGCAGUGGGGAAUUUUGCACAAUGGGGGAAACCCUGAUGCAGCGACGCCGCGUGAUUUAGAAGGCCUUCGGGUUGUAAAAAUCUUUUGUAUGGGAAGAAAAUGACAGUACCAUACGAAUAAGGACCGGCUAAUUACGUG
rnacentral:rRNA from 1 species